rnacentral:lncRNA from 1 species
AAACGUAAAAUCUUCCUGCAAAAAUCCCCAACAAACUGGGAGCAUAAAACUCCCCCUCAAAUGCAACUUUAGCUAAAGGGCAUUAAAGUGCAUUUGGAAGAGAUUCCCAGGCACAAUGUAACCUAGAAGGGACAAAGGGAUCACAACGGAUGCAAGCAACAAAGUGGAUGGCAGUUGUAGCUCAUGAGUAAAACAGCCCAAGUGGGUGGACUAAGCAACAAAGUAGCUGAAAAAUGCUUCCAAACCCUAAACCCAUGUGAGCACAAGCAAAAUCAGCUAUAAAUUACUAGCAAUAACGUGGCUGCCAAAAACAGCACAACUUGGGCAACCCCACUUGGAAAAUCAACAAGUAAAACUAGGAAACUGCCACCCACCAAGUACAAAUCAGCAUGGGCACAAGAAUGAGCACCAUGUGCAACCACCCAUACACAUUAAGAUGCAUUAAAAGUCCAAAGUUGAGAAUACAACCGUGUGCAGCCACCAAAACAAUUUAGACGAACUGCAAAAUUCCGAUAGAAAACACCAUGAUUUCCAACCACAAGGUCAAGAAACCCAAAUGUAAAAAUCUUCCUGCAAAAACCCCCAGCAAACUGGGAGCAUAAAACUCCCCCUCAAAUGCAACUUUAGCUAAAGGGCAUUAAAGUGCAUUUGGAAGAGACUCCCAGGCACAAUGUAACCUAGAAGGGACAAAGGGAUCACAGCAGAUGCAAGCAACAAAGUGGAUGGCAG